UGGAGUACAAGGAUGUUGAAGUAUUAUUUCGGAUGCAGUAAUGCUAUCAAUAAGUUUCCGAGAGUAGAAACAGUUACGUAUCUGAAUCGGUACUUGCUGAUAGCGACAAGUGGCGGUUUAAACCAGCAGCGUACCGGAAUUACGGAUGCUGUUGUUGCUGCACGUAUUCUGAAUGCUACUCUUGUGGUUUCGAAACUGGAUUAGAAGUCAUUUUGGAAGGAUUCUAGGUUAGCAGAGAAAUGGUGGCACAUACAUUGUA